CUUACACAUCCUUUCUCAAUCAGGUGAGUAUCUAAACCUAGGGUUUCUUAGAUUCGUUUUUAUCUUUUCAAUUGAACAUUUUGCUUCUUGUGGGAUUGCUUUUUUUUUAUUAUUAAUUUUUUUGAAUUGGAACUUCGUAUGUGUUAUUUAUAACUUCAGAUUUCACUAUUGAAGAUUCAACUGAGAAUGCAUUAAAUUUUUAAUAGAUUAUUCACAAACUCGAUCCGUUGAAAGAAAAAAUCCCUUCUUUGCACUUCUUCUGCACAAUCUUAUGGUUCUUAUUGUACCACUCAGACCCAGUUCUAUUAUGACCAUUUUUUUUGCAUUUUUUUUUCUUCGCUCAUAGACAUUCAACCACCACCU
rnacentral:misc_RNA from 1 species